CCCUGCAUCGGCAGGCGGAAUCUCAACCACUGCGCUACCAGGGAAGCCCAGCGAGGAGGGUUUUAACGAAGGAGGUUAAACUAAGGGGUUGACAUAAUAAAACUGAUGUUUUAGAAAAUCGUUCAGAUAACAAUGUGAAUAAAAAAACAAAAAUAGAGGUGAGGAACCUAAGUUAGGAGAAGUUGAAGAAGUCCAGGUGGUAAGUGUCAAGGGUCUAAACCAGGGGUGAGCCAGGGGCUGGGGGUGAGUGUGGGGACUGGAAAGACAAGAGGUAGAAUCUGGGCAAUGUAGUGGCUGAUUGACGGGUUAAGAGAGAAAAAGAAGAUGUCUGGGGGACAUCUGUGGGAUUUGUGGGAUUUCUGUGGGAUUUCUAAGUCAGACUGGGAGGAGGGGGAUAGCAAAGACUGGAGAAGCCAAUCAUGGGAGGGAGGAGGUGGUGAAAUCUAUCUGGAAUGCGUUGAAUUUGAACUGUUUGCAGGACCUCACAGGGAGAGUCUCCGUUUUUUAAUUCAUUUCACAAAUAUUCACUGAACGCGUAUGGGUGCCAGGGGUACAGCAGUGGAUCAGACAGAUAAGAUUUCUGCUCUGAUGGAGUUUAACAUUCAUGGGAAAGAUGGACGGUGGGAAAGACAGAUAAGGACCAGCAAACCCCCAGCCGUUAGGAGGCGCCCGCACGCUGCACAGCCAGUGUCCACUCUGCGCACUCCACACAGCCCGGAGCGCCCUGGACAAGACCCGGGAGAAGGGGUAGGCAUGUGCUGGAAGACAUCUUUCAGAGAGGUGUGCUGGUGUCCUCCUGGGUAUCACAAAUACAUCUGUGGGGAUCAGUCUCGGAAAAAAGGCUGCUCUGGAGCUCCGGGAAACAAAAGCUGAAAUAAAUUAUGUUUUCAGACAAUGCAAAGUAAGCUUUUAAGCUUCCACGAUGUUGGGUGAGGCAUUAUAAUGAGCUGGUUGGUCCCCAUUUUUUAAAGUGCAGCGAAGGAUAACCAGAAUGAAUUUUCAAGAUGUCUUAUUCACUUUCCCCUUAAAAUGAAACUGGUGAAUGGUAGUCAGUGCUUGGCUACUGUUAAGUUUACCCCCCAAAAUGUUGAUGAAUAAAUGAAUAAAUAAUUUUUACUCU